UCACUUCCCCAGCAGGUCAUUCCUGCCAAAGACACCCCAGCCCAGAGCAAAUUUCACCCUUCCCUUCCAAGAAGUAUCUCCUGUGUUGGACCAAGCAAAAAGUGAGCUGAGAUGUUGGGGAAAACCGCAGCCAUGCCGAUGUCCACCCCACAGAGACCGAGGCAGGAUGCGUUCUACUAUCCAUCUGGGUGUCAAUCUGAGCGGACACUCUUCCACCCCACCCGGGUCAUCAAGUAUGUCUUUCUGGACGGGAGUCAGAACAUCGUCCCAUCAUUACACACUUCUUCUCCUGGCUUGGAGACCCCCGUUGGGUACCUGGAGUCGGCCAAGCGCUACUAUUGCCCUCUUGCCUGCCCGGACCAUGGCCUGGCCAGCGCUUACUGGCCUCCCGACCUGGAGCGCCUCCCCAUCUUCGUCACGCUCUCCAAGAGCCAGGAAAGAAGCAGCAGGAGCUGGGGGCGGCCCCCGCUUUCUCGGGACCGGCUGCCGGUUUUCCGGAAGUUAUGCAGAGAGGCUGCUCUCUGGGGGUCCCAGCGCCACGAGGACUCGGUGGGUCCCAAGACCGCCAAGGAUGACCCAGAGAAGACUGGGGAGAUGAAGGGACCUGGACUUGGGGGAAAACUGGAGGCCGAGAAAGAAAAGGAGCCGGACAGUUCUGUGUCCCAGCUGACACUCUAAGGGAAAGGGGAAUUCAGCUCUAAGGGGAUUUUUUUUCCAAACUCACAAUGAAAUCUGUGGUGCUGGGCAGCCUUUUGAAUUGCUUAUCCUUGCCUCACCGCCUCCAAAGAUCCAGAGACACGUGUGCUUCUCCUGGGAUUCUGGAUGGUUACACAGAUGUGGGCAGUAUCCUCACAAUCUACACAAAAAUGGUUGUGGGGUUUCUGCAAACAGAAAAAAGCCCUUGAAUGACAAAAACAUCUAAGGUUUAGGACGACGACCCUGGAGUUGAAGAUGAAGUGCUGUGGGUUUUCUUUGUAGACUAGAAUCGACGGACUAGAUUGAUCUAUAGGGUCCUUUCCGCUUCUACAUUUCUAUCGUUCAAGCAGAGCGGUUCCCAAGUUUGGGUCCCCAGAGGUUCUUGGACUAAAACUCCCAGAAGCCUUCACCGCUAGUUGUGCUGGUCAGGAUUUAUGGGAGUUGUAGUCCAAACGCAUCUGGGGACCCAUGAUGCUAGUCCCUCCACAGAACAUAGGGAGGUCGGCCAACCUACAGACCCUCCAUUGACAUGUCCCAUCUUGGCUCACUGGCAGUAUAUGCACACACACACACACACACAUACACACACACACACACACGAACACACAAACACACGAACACACAAACAUACACAUAAGGAGCAAUGACUCUCCUCUGAGCGGCUCCAUUAUGUAAAGCAAACUAAACCUCCGGGAACGUUUCCAGAUUGCUCGUUAGCUGAUUAACUGUGCUUGCUGUCUCCCUGCCCCCACAAGGACCUGAGGAGGAACGGUGGCUCGCGCCGCAACCCGAAGCGUUGGUCGGGUUGGGAAGCGCAAACUCUCAAGAUGGAGGGAGGCACGCUGGCUGGGGCCCAAGGCUGGUUCUGAUCAGCGGAGGGGGAAAAGGGAGGGAGAGAUAAUAAGGAAGAUGCUGAGAAAGAUAGAAAGCACCGACUGAGGCUCUUUAUGCAUUUCCUUUUGCUGAGAAGACAAGGCUCAAG
rnacentral:lncRNA from 1 species